GAGUUCAAUAGUACGUGAAACCGUUCAGGGGUAAACCUGAGAAGCCCGAAAGGUCGAAAGAGGAGAUUCAGCGUGUCUCGACGGUGGCGUUGGACGGUCGCGAGACGGAAGGCGCACGCGUCGUCCGCUCCUUCCGUUCUUCGAACCGCCGUGGAACGCGUGCACUUCUCCUCCUGUAGGACGUUGCGAUCCGUUGGGUGCCGGUCUAAGGCCCGCGGUGGAGCCCGUCCGGACGGUUCGCCGUUCCGGACGAACCCGCGGUGUUUCCCGAUCGGCUCGCUCGACGGUAUACAUAUGGCGCGAGGCCGCUACACAUACAGUUAGCGUCCGACCCGUGGCAAGCGCGCUCGUCGUGAUGGUGAUCGGACCUGGUGCCGGUCCUGUCCCCGAGUGGCUGUUCGCUGUGGAGUUCUCGGACAGACCUCGUUGAAACGCCGAUCUGCGACGCUAUAGCUUUGGGUACUUUCAGGACCCGUCUUGAAACACGGACCAAGGAGUCUAGCAUGUGCGCGAGUCAUUGGGACAUGACUAAACCUAAAGGCGCAAUGAAAGUGAAAGUCCGCCUCGCGCGGACCGAGGGAGGAUGGGUGGCAGUUACGGCUGUCGCUCCGCACUCCCGGGGCGUCUCGUUCUCAUUGCGAGAAGAGGCGCACCAACAGCGUACACGCUGGGACCCGAAAGAUGGUGAACUAUGCCUGGUCAGGACGAAGUCAGGGGAAACCCUGAUGGAGGUCCGUAGCGAUUCUGACGUGCAAAUCGAUCGUCGGAACUGGGUAUAGGGGCGAAAGACUAAUCGAACCAU
rnacentral:rRNA from 1 species